UACGUAGGGUGCGAGCGUUGUCCGGAUUUAUUGGGCGUAAAGCGCGCGUAGGCGGCCCGGAAAGUCGGUUGUGAAAACCCGGGGCUCAACCCCGGGCCUGCAUCCGAAACUUCCGGGCUGGAGGUAGGUAGGGGAGAUCGGAAUUCCUGGUGUAGCGGUGAAAUGCGCAGAUAUCAGGAGGAACACCGGUGGCGAAGGCGGAUCUCUGGGCCUUACCUGACGCUGAGGCGCGAAAGCUAGGGGAGCGAACAGG
rnacentral:rRNA from 1 species